UACGGAGGGUGCAAGCGUUAUCCGGAUUCACUGGGUUUAAAGGGUGCGUAGGAGGGCAGGUAAGUCAGUGGUGAAAUCUCCGAGCUUAACUCGGAAACUGCCGUUGAUACUAUCUGUCUUGAAUACCGUGGAGGUGAGCGGAAUAUGUCAUGUAGCGGUGAAAUGCUUAGAUAUGACAUAGAACACCAAUUGCGAAGGCAGCUUACUACACAAUGAUUGACGCUGAGGCACGAAAGCGUGGGGAUCAAACAGG
rnacentral:rRNA from 1 species